rnacentral:rRNA from 1 species
AAAGCGUGCGCAGGCGGUUAUAUAAGACAGUUGUGAAAUCCCCGGGCUCAACCUGGGAAUUGCAUCUGUGACUGUAUAGCUAGAGUACGGUAGAGGGGGAUGGAAUUCCGCGUGUAGCAGUGAAAUGCGUAGAUAUGCGGAGGAACACCGAUGGCGAAGGCAAUCCCCUGGACCUGUACUGACGCUCAUGCACGAAAGCGUGGGGAGCAAACAGGAUUAGAUACCCGAGU